GCCCCCAUAGCUCAGUCGGCCAGAGCGGCGCACUCGUAAUGCGCAGGCGUCGGUUCAAUUCCGGCUGGGGGCU
rnacentral:tRNA from 2 species